AUAAACCACAAGUAGGAAUCUUAUGAAUGAAACUUUUAUUUUGCACUUAUCGCUAUUUUUCAAUCUUUCGAGCAUUUUUUUAAUGAUAUUAUUUCGCAAAACAUAAUUUAUUCACUUUGUAUAGCAUUUACUUAUUAAUAUUUAAAUCCAGAUCCUAGACUAUUAAUACCAUACAGAUUGUAUUUUCGUUCAAUUGAAUAAUAUUAGAUAUGUAGGUAAUAUAGUUACUCGCAUCACGGCAUUGGAAAAUAACGAAGACAGCGAGAGAGCGGGCAGCAGUCGAAGAGGAUUAUGACAGUAGUUUGUUAACGGAUUCGUAUUCGUGUAAAACAUGCAGUUCCGCAAACAAACAAUGAAUAAUAUGUAAGUACGCUACGUACUCGUGUCAUCGGUGGAAAUCGUUAUUAAACGUUAUUAGAGUCUUCCGGAAGAGACGGCUAUAAUGGUUUUUUUUUUUUUUUUAUUGUUGUUCGUUGUUUUACACUACGCUCGGCACAUCCGUGACGUAUAUGAAACAUGAUAAUAUAAUAGUAUUUGUCCCAUGGUGCAUUCUGCAUUGCAGUGGCUACUAUAUUUAUGUACGCCUAUGUUGCAAAAACGAUUCCGGUUACAAAAGUCAUCUAUAACGCACGCCUAACAUAACCUAAUCUAACCUUCCCCAUCAUAUUCGCCACCACACCGGAGAGGGACGCGUCCAAUAUUGCUUUCCUCUCAGCCUAACCUAACCUAACCAGCGCAGAAGUUUCACUCAUUUUAUUCAUACAAUGUUUAAUCGUUCAAAAUAUAUUACGAUUAUGUUCGUUUUGCCAUGAUUUAAAUAAAUUUAUCUGUGAGUGACAUUUUUUUUUUG